rnacentral:piRNA from 1 species
UCUUAUUGGUGUGACAGCAGUGUAAGGG